UUCAGCAUGGACGAGUUGGACCAAAUAGUCUGUUUCCAUGCUGUACGUUUCUAUUACUGUUGAUCUGUAAAUAGCUUACCAGAGCUCACUGCCAAUGUUUAUGUGACAAUAAUGCCAAUUCAACUCAACUAAAUUAAUUCAAUUCACACCUAACAGUUACCAUGCCUAUAGAAUAUCAUCACUACAUUGGGAAUGGGAUCUUAAAAUGCAAGAAGUAUUUAAAAAAAAGAAACUUUCAGUAAUUUUAAACUACUAUAAACCAUGGAAAUGUUUAAAAGAUUUAAAAAUACUCACAAACAGUAUUUGUUGUGUUAUUGCUAUUUUAAUUAAAUACAACUAGUUUAAACGAAGACAGUUACAUUUUAGAUUUGGGUGCAGAAACAACGAUCUUCACCGGUGUACCAACAUUUUUUUUGUCUUUGGUUGAUAAAGUAGGUCUAAAGCGUUACAGACGAACACAGUUUUAAGAAGCUAUUAACUAACUUGUAACGCUUAGCAGCCAAGCGCUGGCAAAAAACUACCAACUGACAGGAACGUGCAAGACUUAAGUUGUUUUGAGGUUGAGGCGUUCUGUUUUUUUCUCAACUUUCAAAAGCACGUAAAUAUUCCGAACGUGUGGAAAUAACGUUGCGGAGAUAUCUGGGGGCAAACAAGUUAAUGGGGAAACCCUACUGUAAUAUAUCUAUCACUUGAUGAGGUGGAGCUAAUGAAGAUAUUGUUUGGGUUGAAGAGGCAAUAUCGUCAGAGAGCAAUGCAGAGUUGGGACGGGGAGGGAAGUUUUCAUCCUGCAGGGAGUUGGUGAGUUUUUAAAAACUUUAUUUUUUCAAAAAAAGCUUCCACAUGAUUUCAUCUCGCUUCAGGUUUGUAUUUGUGUUUUGGGAGAGCGGUGGGAAUGGGGCUCGGUUAUACAUUUUUUUCACUGAUGAGUGGCUCCUAACAAAAGUGUCUGCGGCUGUUUUUUUGCAGAUCUCACCCCCCACCGCCAAACCCCACUGUUAAGUGUGAAGCCGGGCGAUGGGUUCCCCGGAGGGUGCCGAACUCUCGGUGUGGGUAUGCCAGGAGGAGAAGGUGGUGUGCGGCCUGACCAAGAGGACCAGCUGCGCCCAGGUGGUGAGAGCGCUGCUGCGGGAUCACCUCGCCCACGCCGGGGACACCAGGCUGCUGCACGCCCCGCCCAGGGAUUACUGCCUGGCCGAGAAGUGGAGGGGCUUCGAGAGGCUGCUGCCGCCCGCCACCAAGCUGCUCAGGCUCUGGCUGGCCUGGGGCCCGGAGCGGCGCAACGUGCGCUUCGUCCUGGUCAAGUGGGACGCCCGGCUGCCGCUGCCGGGCCUCCGCAGCGCCGAGGCCAAGGUGGUGCCCAGCAGCAACGGCGGCGGCGGCGGCGGGGGUCAGCCGGCAGAGAGACGCCCGGCCGCCCGCUCCGUGCGGGACCUGCCGCGGGACAAGCAGAGGAGGAUGGUGAGGAAGGCCUUCAGGAAGCUGGCCAAGAUGAAGAGGCUGAGGCAGGGCCGGGAGCGCAUGGAGACCCUGGCGCACCUGAUCGUCUCGCAGGACCACACCAUCCGCCAGCAGCUGAGCCGGCUGCGGGAGCUGGACGGCGACAUCGAGCGGUUCGAGGGCCGCCUGCACUCGGAGCGGGUGCAGAGCGACGGCCAGAACUACGUGCAGGAGACCUACCUGGUGGAGGGCGGGCAGCUCCAGGAGUACAUCGAGAGGAGCGAGGCGGUUGGCCAGCUCGAGGAGGAGCUCGAGCGACGUCGCGACACCCUCCAGAGGUUGAGCGAGGAGCUCGAGCUCGAGCAGCUGUGGCACGCCGACAGCGGCCUCGAGCGGCCGGAGGAGGACGGCGGCGGCGGCGACGACGACGACCUCAGGCUGCAGGGCGAGUUGGAGAGGAGCGCGUGGCGCGCGCAGCAGCUCGGUCGGAGUCUCGCGGACGUGCAGCAGAGCCUGCAGCAGCAAGAAGCUGAGCUGCGCGAGAAGGCGGAGGAAUACGAGCGCCUCGCCCGGCAGCUGGAGCGCCUGAGCCUCGACGAGGAGGCGGCGGCGGUUGUGGCGGAGGACAGCGGCGGUGAAGCGCCCGGGCUGUGCCAGGGCUCGGCCGAGGGACUCGUCAAAUGUCCGCCUGAGAGCGGCUUCGCCUCUUCGGAGGUGAACGACACCGACUCGGACACGGGGAUCAGCUCCACCCACAGCCAGGACUCCGAACCGCCCUGUGUCGGAGUGUUUCCCACCCCGCAAAACUAUCUCUGAAUUGUCCUAUGGUUAGAUUCUGUUACCUCAUGAAUGCAUCAGGAGGGACAGUAAUACUCCUGGGACACGACGCGUGAAAGCUCCUGCAUAUCUUUUAGAUAUUAGGUGCGUCUUUUCAGAAGAAAUGCCGAGAGUAUGUGACUUAAAACUAAACGCAGUCCAGAAAUUUGUACCGUUCUGUCUUGAUGGGAUGAGAGACUUGUCCAACUGCAAACCGUUAAUAGUAUUCUGAAACCAUCAUUGCUGGGAAAGUAUUCUGAAACCCUAUUGUUAACUUGGUAUAGUUAAUAAAGUACAAGCUUUCUGGUUCCACACCGCUGUCCCCAGAGAUUAGACAAGAUUCCUAAACACUGGACAAUUCCUGAACAAAUUCUUCCCACACUUUUACGUUCAAAACAAACACACAAAUCCACUGCUAGUAAAAGUUUCACAUGUAAAGAACACAAUUCAUUCUGUUAUCAAAGUAAUUAGCCAACACCAUUGCAGAGUUAGUGCAUAAAACCCUCUGCAGUUAUCCCCAUUCAGAUCGUCUGACAUACAACAGACUGAGAAGAUUGCUCUCUGAACGCACUUUUUCUUAAUUGUGUAAGAUGUCGCAAAUGCAAAUCAGGGAAUCUCUGAUCGUUUAGGAUGAUAAUAGUUUGAAGAUUAAUCUACAACCAGUACAUCGUUCCUAACUGCACAGUUUCUUCUGACACACUUUAUCUUGGGCAAACACAUUCAGAGGAUAAUGUAAGUUCACUAAUACAGUACAAAAUACUUUACAAUAUAUCAGCUAACUAAUAUUGCAGCCCUUUUCUGAUAUUAGUCAGAAUAAACUAAACGAUUUAUAUUAACAUGCUGACUUAUUUUUGGUUAGGCACCAAAAAUGAACAAUAAGUUGCUAAGACUCAUUUUGUUGAACAAUUUAACAAAUUGGCAUUUAUUAAAGUGGAACAAGGUAAUAGUUUUGCACUACAUGUAUGGACUGCAAUAUGUGUUGACAGGAUUUUCCAGAACAAAAUAAAAAUGAACAAUGGAUUUCUGUACAAACAUGGAUUUUAUGUCCACAUCAGAAAGUGAAAUAGUGUGUAGAACAUGUAAUAACACACCAAUAAUAAUUUUAUUGGUUUAAAUGGGGCUAUUUUCCAUUUUUAUAGUAUUAAUAUCCAAAGUAAAACUGCUGCAUCUUUACCACCUGAGCACAAAGGACCAAUUGAGCUGAGAGCAGAAAGCAAAAGUCAGCAAAACUGCAUGCUAGUAAGAAACUAGGACAGCUUUCCUCCAGUUGGAAUCAGUUUACCUCAAAUCCUUUCUUCCUGUAAAUAUCAUGCAAUUGUGUCAACCAGACGUUCCUUUGCUCAUACCACCCAGGUGAUGUUUAAUAGGCUAUUGAAGAUGAAACAAGAGAUUUCUGUCUUAAUUGAUUUCAGAAGUAAUUUUUAAAUAUGUCCCAAUUGUGACUAUAUCCAUUGUAUGCUAUUAUGGUCUUAGGUAUGUAGCAAUUUGUAGGCUCAAGUAGUUUCAUUCCUUACGAAUACCUAUCUUCACAGUACCUUUUCCUGGAUGAGCUGCAACCAACAUUAAAGAGUCCCACCAGUCUUUCAAGAAUGCAGAGGAGCAGCCACACAAUGAACUCAAGUACUCUCCUGGACAUCUAACCAGUUUUCAGUGUUUUUGGGCUCCAGUCAGCAAGGUUGUCUGAGGUGGAGUAUAAACCCAAGACUGUGACUGAUAGACAACAACACUGCCACUGCAGCAGUGAAUCUGGAUGAUAGUGUUGCAAGUGAAGUCAGCAUUUUAUUUGGAGAUCAUGUUCUAGUCUCCACUGGCCAGGGUUGAAUUGAAUAGCAGUCAAAUCUUUCAGUUUUACUUUGGAACCAUGCUUCUAUUAGUCAAAGACUGAAUUCUCCAAACUAUGCUGUCUGACCUACUGAGGUUUUCCAGCAAUUUCUGAUUUUGUUUCUGUUUACCAGCAUCUACUGAACUUUUGGUCUUUUAUUCCACAUUUUUAUUGGCAAAAUUCUACAUCGACGAUGCCAAUCAUGCUGUAUUUUUGAGUCUCACCACGAAAGCACUGUUUCACUAGUUUCUCCAUGUUUAACAUGUUCUGCAUUGCUUGUUCUCUAACACAUUGAUUGGGUUACGCUGUUUUUUUUAUUAGCUCCACUUUAAAUAGCUGCUUUUUUUACAACAGCUAUUUUUGACUGCACAUUAAAUUUUAUUCUUUAUCUCAAGUUUAAUACCCAUGUUAUUGUAAUUUAACAGGUGUUCUAAGAUGUGUCUUCACUUUUAUUUGGCAAGUUCAUAAGAAUACAACUUUUCAAUACUGUACAAAUUUUGACGCUCCAAAAUUUCAUAAUAUAUUAAGUGCUGUGUUUCAUAUGUAUGUUCUCUGUGUUACAUUUUCUUCCUGUAAUGCUCUUCUCAUUGCAUUUUCCUUGUUGCAUUUUAUACGUCUGUGAAAAAAAGUAAAUGUAUCCUGUCACAUUAAAUUAGUCACCGAGGGAUCAUGUAUCCUGUGCAACAUAGCAUAGUACUCAUUGUUAUAAAACAUCUUCCAGGUUAACAUAAGCAAUUUAUCAAGGAUCAGAACCAUGUUUGGCCUUGCAUCAGCUAGUUUAAUAAAUGUGUGACUUUGUAGACCAAAGUUUUUCCUAAUUAUAUUAACUUACCACAUAAUGAUAAAUAUUUUACAUCCCAACUUGAUUAUUUUUCUGUGUCACUUAAUUAUGGUUUCUGUCAGUAGUAAAUAAUUAUUUUAAUACUCAAUUGAAGAAUGCAGUCACCACUGAGAAGCAAAGAUGAUGCAUAUCUUAAACAAACUUUCUAUAUGGAUAGAUCAUUAAAAAUGCAUAAGAGCAUUUUCUGUUGUGUCUGCUUCAGCAAGAUUAAAGGUUUUGUUUUUAAUAAAUAAUCAGUUUAGCAAUGAAUAUAGGUGUGACUGUGUUUGUGACAGCGUUCCAGCAUCUGAGUCAAAAGAUGAGAGUUCUUAGUUGCACUUGAAACUGCACAUACAGAUGACUUAUGAAGACUUUAUCCAGUAAGAGACAUUGUAUCUUGGUACAUGUAACAAUAAUAAUAAUUAAUAAUAAGAAGAAGACCAACAAAUGUGGAACAUAGCCCUGCCUCUGAGUCAGAAGCUCUGAGUUCGAUCCCAUUCCAGGAAUUGAUAUCCAAGGAUGAUUCUGAACGUCUGAUUAUCAACCAGCAAAUCCUUGCAGCGGAUACUAACUGCAUCUGAUUAAAACAGGAGAGCUAGUUAACGAUGUGAUGAUUGGUUAGACUGAUGCUGAUGAUGUAUUAUCCUUUAACAAAGCACUGAAUUUAUGUUAUGAUCUCAAUAGAGACCAGUUUUUUUUUUAAAGUAGACAAAAGGUGAGAUCCAAGGUGGAUAUUAAGAGAAGGAAGCUACAAAACUCCAUGUUUUUGAACAAACAAGGGUUUACAAUGAUAGUACAGUAAUGCAGUGUACUAUACAUGUAUAUGUACAACUUAUUUCUUGCAUCCAGAAUUAAUAUUAUCCAGUAUGAAUAAUUUACCAUGACUAAACACCCUGAUGAUAAAGUCACUAUCGUCCUACCUGAUCAUAGGGCUGCUGUCUCAUUAGAGAGAGAUAACUGAUGAUUGUUUAACUCGAGGGUCACAAUUCCUAAGACAAGAGGAAAGGUUGAGAGCCUACAUCAAACAGCAAAUGCUAGCACAUGGAUCACGCAGAUCAGUGCAACAUAGAGAUUCUGUCUCUGUCUCUUCUCUAAUUCACUAUGACUCCAAACUGCUUUACCAUCACUGUUGAACUAUCCUCAGUGUCCAAUUGAAAUCUUGGCAAUAUGCCCUGCCCCUGUCGCUGGGUGGAAUUGAAUGUUGCCUCCUAAUUAUUCUUGGAACUCCAUAGAUGUUACAUUCUGUCAGAAUGCUGGAAAUAGAUUUCCUCAUUAGCUGUAUUGAAAUGGCUUGACUAGAGUUAUGACUUAUUCUGGAGUCUUGAGUCCUAUUAGUUCAAUGUUGGCAGGACCCAUAGCUUUUGAGAUAUAUGGAGCGUUCAGCAACUUCAUGAUGUCACGUGCAGUGAAUCCAACUGAUUGAAGACUGUCAUUUGUGAUGCUGGGGAUUUCAGGAGUAGGCUGAUGUAGAUCAUCCACUCAGCACUUCUGUCUGAAUAUGCAUUCAAAUUAUUCAGCCUUAUUGGAAUAUUUCAAUUGGAGCGGUAAGGUACAAGGACGUGUUAUUGCAAAUAAGUGUGAUGAUACUAUGCCUUUAAGAGGUGUAUUUUGUCCUUUAUUUUAAGACAUGUUUUGAGCCAUAGGUGAAGAGCUAUCUAUUCAAUGCCAAUAAAGUAAACAGCUUCUGAGGCCUUGGGUUUUUUUUCAAAGUUGAAAUAGUAGAAGUAGCAUGAAUGGGUGGAAUUAGAAUUCCACUGAACCAAGAUUUUAGUUUAGCUUUCAGUGUUGGGGUUUGGAAGUUGGCUGUGGAAGCUGUCUCUUUCCCCCUGCUACAACUAAAAGGCUCGGUUCUCUCUCUCU